rnacentral:rRNA from 1 species
CCUACGGGAGGCAGCAGUGAGGAAUAUUGGUCAAUGGGAGGGAGCCUGAACCAGCCAAGCCGCGUGAGGGAAGACGGCCCUAUGGGUUGUAAACCUCUUUUGUCGGGGAACAAAACCCGGGACGUGUCCCGGACUGCGUGUAUCCGACGAAAAAGCAUCGGCUAACUCCGUGCCAGCAGCCGCGGUAAUACGGAGGAUGCGAGCGUUAUCCGGAUUUAUUGGGUUUAAGGGGUGCGUAGGCGGUCCGUUAAGUCAGCGGGAAAAUUGCGGGGCUCAACCCAGGAGUGCCGUUGAAACUGGCAGACUGGAGUGGGAGAGAAGUAAGCGGAAUGCGCGGUGUAGCGGUGAAAUGCAUAGAUAUCGCGCAGAACUCCGAUGGCGAAGGCAGCGUACCGGCGCCAGACUGACGCUGAGGCACGAAAGCGUGGGGAUCGAACAGGAUUAGAUACCCCAGUAGUC